GUACUCUCCAACCAGUCCGUCAUACUCCCCCACAUCUCCAAGCUACAGUCCCACAUCGCCAAGCUACAGUCCCACAUCACCAAGUUAUAGUCCCACUUCUCCGAGCUACAGUCCCACAUCGCCAGUUUAUAGUCCGACCUCUCCAGCAUACAGCCCAACAUCUCCUGCAUACAGCCCGACAUCUCCAUCAUACAGCCCGACAUCGCCAUCAUACAGCCCUACUUCACCUUCAUACAGCCCUACCUCUCCAUCUUACAGCCCUACGUCUCCAUCAUACAGCCCUACGUCUCCUUCAUACAGCCCUACGUCUCCAUCAUACAGCCCGACAUCGCCCUCGUACAGCCCGACAUCGCCUGCAUACAGCCCGACAUCGCCUGGAUACAGCCCAACAUCGCCGAGCUACAGCCCUA
rnacentral:lncRNA from 1 species